rnacentral:rRNA from 1 species
AUUGAACGCUGGCGGCAGGCCUAACACAUGCAAGUCGAACGAGUGGCGGACGGGUGAGGAAUGUCUGGGAAACUGGCCGAUGGGGGUGGCUAACUACAGGAAACGGUAGCUAAUACUGCAUACCAUCGGAUGGGACCAGAUGGGAUUAGCUGGUGGGUGGGGGAACGGCUCACCUAGGCGACGAUCACUAGCUGGUCUUAGAGGACGACCAGACAAACUGGGACUGAGACACGGUCCAGAAUCCUACGGGAGGCAGGAGUGGGUAAUAGUGGAAAAUGGGCGAAAUCCUGAGGCAGCGAUGCCGCGGGGAUGAAGAAGGCCUUCGGGUUGUAAAGUACUUGCAGCGGGAAGGCGGUACCUGCAGAAGAAGCACCGGCUAACUCCGUGCCAGCCGCCGCGGUAAUAC